GGGGCACUGUGUGUUCGGAUUACUGGGCGUAAGGGCGUGCAGGCGGAUUGGCAAGCCGGAGGUGAAAGCCCGGGGCUCAACCCCGGAGGGUCUUUCGGAACUGCCAGUCUUGAGAGGGUCAGGGGCCAGCGGAAUUCCUGGUGUAGAGGUGAAAUUCGUAGAGAUCAGGAGGAACACCGGCGGCGAAAGCGGCUGGCUGGGGCCACUCUGACGCUGAGGCGCGAAAGCGGCGUGGGGAGCAAACAGGAUUAGAUACCCUGGUAGUCCACGCCGUAAACGAUGGGCACUAAGCGUCCGACGGGUUCGACCCUGUUGGGUGCUGCUUGGGUGCUGCAGUUAACGCGUUAAGUGCCCCCCCUGGGGAGUACGGUGGCGAGACUAAAAACUAAAAACGAAUUGAUUUUUUGCCCCCCCCCCCCCCCCCAAACGGGGGGGGAAAAUUUGGGGUUUUUAAUUUUCAAACCAACGCCAAAAAAAAACCUUUUCCCCGGGGGUUUUUGAAAAUUCCCCCCGGGGCCAAAAACCCAAAAAAAGGGGGGGGGGUUCCCCCCCCUUCCGAAAAAACCCCGGGGGUGGAACAAGGGGGGGCCUGACAAUGGGGUUUUUUCUCCCCCAGCCUUCCGGUGUUCCUGGGGAAAAAAUUGUUUUGGGGUUUUAAAGAUUCCCCCCCCCAAACACAGAGGGCGCCCAAACGCCCCUUGUGGGCCCCCCCUUCACAGGUGUGGGCCCACAAACACAAGUUUCCUCCGGCGUUGUGAGACACACACUCUCUCUCUGUGGGGGGAGAACAUCGUCGCUGCGUGCGUGUAUCACAAGACACCGCUCUGGGGGGAGAAGAGCUGUGGCGUGAGGUAUC
rnacentral:rRNA from 1 species